UGCCAUUCCCAUCACAGUUCUCAGAGGUUUCAGAGUUGGACAAACAUCAGCCUUUUAUCCUGUGCUCUGAAGCCACAAAGCAAUAGAUCAAUCUUUCACACAUAAUGGCCAAGGAGAUCAUUCCUUUUCAUGAAAUAGUUGGUUGAUCAAAGGCAGAAAUGUUCAUUUGUAUUUGAAAAUUAAUUGUGGAGCCAAUGAUAAUUCAGUCUUACCUCCAGGGGAACUGAAGACUAAAUUUAAAAAAGUGGGAACACAGAGCCACAGGAUACCAGAGUUGAAAGAGAACUUGGAGGACAAACCCCUGGAGAGAAAAUUACUUGCUCAAAGCCACACAGUCAUGUAGCACAUGGAUGUGUGUGACUGACAGGUCUACAUUCUUUGCCAGCAUUACCCACUCCUCGAAGAUUCUACCUCUGGCUCUCUGCUGCACAAGUGUGGAGAUGGACAGUUUGGAAUCUGGUGAGAAAAGUGCAGUUUUCUGUACCCUGCCCAUGCUCACUUCAAUUUCUCAAACAUGGACUGGUCCUUGGAGCUUAACCAAUACAAACUAAAAGUUCACGCGGUGUUCCUGGCAAACAGCUUUAAAGUAGAACACAAAGGGGAACUUCGUGUUGCUGGUCCAUCUCUCUCCCAGCUCUUACCCUCACCCAGGCAGGCCUGGAGAAAUGACAAAAUAGACUGUGUCCUUGCCCGCUAGGGAACAAAACCACAGAAGGGAAAGUUGUUGAGGCUAUCCUUCCAGGGCCCUCAUGGCAUGGAAAGUCUAAAGAGAACACUGUUUCCCUAAGACCCGUGAAAUCAGCAGACCAGAUGAACUCAAGACCUUAAGGAUUUUAGGAAAUCAAUGAGUAGCAAAACUGUACAAACACUGUAGAACCCAGAAACAUGGAGAAUGUGAGAAUUCGGAAACUGUUUAAAAGAGCCAAGCAUUGGCUUUGUCAGGUAAACAGGAGAUGAUGUACACACUCCUAUAUUCAUUAAAUUUACCUUUUUUGAGUAGUACAGU
rnacentral:lncRNA from 10 species